rnacentral:rRNA from 1 species
AGCGAACGCAGGCGGCAGGCUUAACACAUGCAAGUCGACCGAGAUCUCCGGCGCUAGUGGCAGACGGGGGGGGAACACGUGUGAACAUACCUUUUAGUUCGGCAUAACGUUGGGAAACUAACGCUAAUACCGGAUACGUCCUUCGGGGGAAAGAUUUAUCGCUGAAAGAUUGGCCCGCGUCUGAUUAGCUAGUUGGUGGGGUAAUGGCUCACCAAGGCUACGAUCAGUAGCUGACCUGAGAGGAUGAUCAGCCACAUUGGGACUGAGACACGGCCCAAACUCCUACGGGAGGCAGCAGUGGGGAAUAUUGGACAAUGGGCGCAAGCCUGAUCCAGCCAUGCCGCGUGAGUGAUGAAGGCCUUCGGGUUGUAAAGCUCUUUUAUCCGGGAAGAUAAUGACUGUACCGGAAGAAUAAGCCCCGGCAAACUUCGUGCCAGCCGCCGCAGUAA